GUCGAACGGAGCACAGAGGAGCUUGCUCCUUGGGUGGCGAGUGGCGGACGGGUGAGGAAUACAUCGGAAUCUACUCUGUCGUGGGGGAUAACGUAGGGAAACUUACGCUAAUACCGCAUAUCGACCUACGGGUGAAAGCAGGGGAUCUUCGGACCCUUGCGCGAUUGAAUGAGCCGAUGUCGGAUUAGCUAGUUGGGGGGGUAAAGGCCCACCAAGGCGACGAUCCAUAGCUGGUCUGAGAGGAUGAUCAGCCACACUGGAACUGAGAAACGGUCCAGACUCCUACGGGAGGCAGCAGUGGGGAAUAUUGGACAAUGUGCGCAAGCCUGAUCCAGCCAUACCGCGUGGGUGAAGAAGGCCUUCGGGUUGUAAACCCUUUUGUUGGGAAAGAAAUCCAGCCGGCUAAUACCCGGUUGGGAUGACGGUACCCAAAGAAUAAGCACCGGCUAACUUCGUGCCAGCAGCCGCGGUAAUACGGAAGGGUGCAAGCGUUACUCGGAAUAACUGGGCGUAAAGCGUUCGUAGGUGGUCGUUUAAGUCCGGUUGUGAAAGCCCUGGGCUCAACCUGGGAACUGCAGUGGAUACUGGGCGACUAGAGUGUGGUAGAGGGUAGCGGAAUUCCUGGUGUAGCAGUGAAAUGCGUAGAGAUCAGGAGGAACAUCCAUGGCGAAGGCAGCUACCUGGACCAACACUGACACUGAGGCACGAAAGCGUGGGAGAGCAAACAGAUUAGAUACCCUGGUAGUCCACGCCCUAAACGAUGCGAACUGGAUGUUGGGUGCAAUUUGGCACGCAGUAUCGAAGCUAAUGCGUUAAGUUCGCCGCCUGGGGAGUACGGUCGCAAGACUGAAACUCAAAGGAAUUGACGGGGGCCCGCACAAGCGGUGGAGUAUGUGGUUUAAUUCGAUGCAACGCGAAGAACCUUACCUGGCCUUGACAUGUCGAGAACUUUCCAGAGAUGGAUUGGUGCCUUCGGGAACUCGAACACAGGUGCAGCAUGGCUGUCGUAAGCUCGUGUCGUGAGAUGUUGGGUUAGUCCCGCAACGAGCGCAACCCUUGUCCUUAGUUGCCAGCACGUAAUGGUGGGAACUCUAAGGAGACCGCCGGUGACCAACCGGGAGGAAGGUGGGGAUGACGUCAAGUCAUCAUGGCCCUUACGAGCCAGGGCUACACACGUACUACAAUGGUAGGGACAGAGGGCUGCAAGCCGGCGACGGUAAGCCAAUCCCAGAAACCCUAUCUCAGUCCGGAUUGGAGUCUGCAACUCGACUCCAUGAAGUCGGAAUCGCUAGUAAUCGCAGAUCAGCA
rnacentral:rRNA from 1 species